AAGUCGAGCGAGAAAGGGAACUUCGGUUCCUGAGUAAAGCGGCGGACGGGUGAGUAACACGUGGGUAAUCUACCCUUGGGUGGGGAAUAACUCAGGGAAACCUGGGCUAAUUCCGCAUGACACUUUCGAUACACACGUAUUGAGAAUCAAAGCUGGGGACCCUUCGGGGCCUGGCGCCUGAGGAGGAGCCCGCGGCCAAUUAGCUUGAUGGUGAGGUAAUGGCUCACCAUGGCUACGAUUGGUAGCCGGCCUGAGAGGGCGGACGGUCACACUGGGACUGAGACACGGCCCAGACUCCUACGGGAGGCAGCAGUGGGGAAUUUUUGUCAAUGGGGGAAACCCUGAACAAGCAACGCCGCGUGAAGGACGAAGACCUUCGGGUUGUAAACUUCUGUCGGAGGGGACGAAAGCUUUCGUGGUCAAUACCCAUGAUUGUUGACGGUACCCUAUGAGGAAGCCCCGGCUAACUCCGUGCCAGCAGCCGCGGUAAUACGGGGGGCAAGCGUUGUUCGGAAUUACUGGGCGUAAAGGGCGCGUAGGCGGGCAGGAAAGUCUCUCGUGAAAUCCCACGGCUCAACCGUGGAACUGCGGGAGAUACUACUUGUCUUGAGUUCG
rnacentral:rRNA from 1 species